rnacentral:rRNA from 1 species
UCAGUAACACGUAGUCAAAUGCCCAGGGGACGUGGAUAACCUCGGGAAACUGAGGAUAAACCGCGAUAGGUCACUACUUCUGGAAUGGGUAAUGACCCAAACCUAUAUGGCCCCUGGAUUGGACUGCGGCCGAUCAGGCUGUUGGUGAGGUAAUGGCCCACCAAAGCCGUGUAACCGGUACGGGCUCUGAGAGGAGGAGCCCGGAGAUGGGCACUAAGACAAGGGCCCAGGCCCUAUGGGGCGCAGAGGCGCGAAACCUCUGCAAUAGGCGAAAGCUUGACAGGGUUACUCUGAGUGAUUUCCGUUAAGGAGAUCUUUUGGCACCUCUAAAAAUGGUGCAGAAUAAGGGGUGGGCAAGUCUGGUG